UAGAUACCCCACUAUGCCUAAAAGUAACAAGGCAACGAACCAACACAAGUUGCUCGCCAAACCACUACGAGUGAAAACUUAAAACUUAAAAGACUUGACGGUACUUCACCCAACCUAGAGGAGCCUGUCUAAUAACCGAUAACCCACGAUCAACCCAACCGCCACUAGCCACUCAGCCUAUAUACCGCCGUCGCCAGCCCACCUUGUGAAAGAAACCAAGUGGGCACAAUAGUCCCACACUAACACGACAGGUCGAGGUGUAGCUUAUGGGGCGGACAAAGAUGGGCUACAUUAUCUAAACCAGAUAAAACGGAAAAAGCCGUGAAAACCAAGCCUUAUGAAGGAGGAUUUAGUAGUAAGAUGAGGACAUAAUACUCAACUGAAAACAAAGAAAUGAAGUGCGUACACACCGCCCGUCACC
rnacentral:rRNA from 1 species